CAGCAGCCACGGUAAUACGAAGGGGGCUAGCGUUGUUCGGAUUUACUGGGCGUAAAGGGCGCGUAGGCGGACUGAUAAGUCAGGGGUGAAAUCCCAAGGCUCAACCUUUGAACUGCCUUUGAUACUGUUUGUCUUGAGUUCGAGAGAGGUAAGUGGAACUGCGAGUGUAGAGGUGAAAUUCGUAGAUAUUCGCAAGAACACCAGUGGCGAAGGCGGCCUACUGGCUCGAAACUGACGCUGAGACGCGGAAGCGUGGGGAGCAAACAGGAUUAGAUACCCCAGUAGUCCCUGUCUCUUAUAC
rnacentral:rRNA from 1 species